CCUUGUUUCAACAUCAAAUAUGUUUCCGUAGGGCCAGAUUCUUGGGCAAAGUUGUUUUAGCGAUCUGGUUGCAACUAAGUAUUGGAGUUGUUGUGCCUUGAAGCUAGAAACUGCCUUGAAUUUCUACAUAGGGAAAUGUAAUCUAUUGCUUUCUUACAGCUAAAAGUAGACAUUUGACACAGUUUUGGCCACUAAGAUAUAAACAAUUCACUGGGUAUGGUUUCUGGGAAGGUUCUUUAUUGGAGGAUGACCCAGCUGGCCUGUGUAUCAUUCUACUGUUUGUCCUGCUCCUUCUUCCUGCUUGGAAUGUGGACAUGUCUACAGCUAUAGCAUCACUGCUGCCUUCAUAUCUGAUUGCCAUUUGCCAGCUGACCUGUGACACGGCAGCAGUGUAUUACAUUUUCAAUGAGCAGUCUGUCUGGAGCUGCUACUGGGAGAAACCGCUUCCUGGUUUCUAGGUUCUUUGCUCUGGGGUAGUUUAAGAUAAAUAUGGUAUCCGCCUCUACAUCAGUAUUAAGGUAAGUGCCAUUCCAGCACAGGAUCAUUAACACUUUCACUUUCACUUUCCAAGUGAGUAAAACAUUAUUUUCAGUCUUAUUUUGGUUUUAAAAAGAUGCAUCUUUUAGGGACAAAAUCACCCAUCUUAAUGUUUAUAUAAUAUUCACUUAAUAAUAUAAUAAAGAGAAACUAGGUUAAGAAUCAAUCGUAAGGUAGAGAAGAUAUAAAGCACAUUUGAUAGUUAUUAUUUGGGGAGGUCAGCAUAUAAUACAUCCUCUCAGUGUAGAGCAAGUUAACAUUGAGAUUGCCCUGCAAGUAUGGGGGACAAAACAAAAGAAAGAAUGGUUUGCCUGAGGCCUUAACUUAAAAGUCUGUGAAUUAUACAGGUUUUAUGCCACUACUUGUUCUGCUUUUCAAUAAAAUGAAGACUAGUGCUUCUAAGAGGAAUUGCAGAAUUGCACCUUACAUAUGCAAGGUCUGUAAGAAAACAACCGUCAUAACAAAGUAUGCAUACUCCGCAUAUUACAAAAUUGGGACUAUUAAGAUGCUUGCUGCAGAAACUUCUAUGAUUUGGCACCCAUUGACAUUCAUAGUGAUUCAGGAGCCAACUUUACCUGUUACAUGAAUUAGAAGUAAAGAUGCCUAAAUGCUCCACUAUCGUUACCCUGCCUUCCAAUACAUAUGGAAGUUAGUCAACCGCAAAAAUGCAACUCACGUUUGAUAUUCAGAUUAUCUCCUGUUGACCAGAUAGAAUAUAUUGUCUCGUAGAAAAUGUAAUACCAGGGUUGGGCUGUCAAUAAGCUUGAAUCCAUGUAACCCCAGAACAAUGGGCAGAGAUACAAAACUUUAAUUAUUACCUUCAAGUAGGCCAAAGGAAAAUCCCCCACUUUUGUACAUUUUUCACUCAAUCUAAAGACAGGUUUGAUCUUCCAGGGAUAUUUUGUAGAAAAUUUGUGGUUACAACAUAACGAAAAUGUAACAGUUUUAUAAGAAGGCAUUAAAGGACCAUAUUUUACUCUAAAACUUCAAAUAUGUAGAGAUAUAUAUUUACCUAAAUCUUAAUACACACACUUCAAAAAUCAAAUUUUGUUUUGUAGGGAUACACUUUUACAAGAAUAGGUAAAUUUUGGUGGGCUGUAUUUAUAUAUGGAAUGAUUGAUUUGUAUUGUAACCAUUCAUAACAUAUGCAUCAUAUACAAGAAAUAAUUUUCUUUUAAAAAAUGAAUAUAUAUCCCAGCACUUUGGGAGGCCGAGAUGGGCGGAUCAUGA